CCUACGGGAGGCAGCAGUGGGGAAUUUUGGACAAUGGGCGCAAGCCUGAUCCAGCCAUGCCGCGUGCAGGAUGAAGGCCUUCGGGUUGUAAACUGCUUUUGUACGGAACGAAAAGGUCUUUUUAAUAAAGAGGGCCCAUGACGGUACCGUAAGAAUAAGCACCGGCUAACUACGUGCCAGCAGCCGCGGUAAUACGUAGGGUGCAAGCGUUAAUCGGAAUUACUGGGCGUAAAGCGUGCGCAGGCGGUAAUGUAAGACAGAUGUGAAAUCCCCGGGCUCAACCUGGGAACUGCAUUUGUGACUGCAUUGCUGGAGUGCGGCAGAGGGGGAUGGAAUUCCGCGUGUAGCAGUGAAAUGCGUAGAUAUGCGGAGGAACACCGAUGGCGAAGGCAAUCCCCUGGGCCUGCACUGACGCUCAUGCACGAAAGCGUGGGAAGCAAACAGGAUUAGAUACCCUGGUAGUCCACGCCCUAAACGAUGUCAACUGGUUGUUGGGUCUUCAUUGACUCAGUAACGAAGCUAACGCGUGAAGUUGACCGCCUGGGGAGUACGGCCGCAAGGUUGAAACGUCAAAUGAAAUUGACGG
rnacentral:rRNA from 1 species